rnacentral:lncRNA from 1 species
AAUAUUUACAACUUCUGAUUUUCUUAUUUCUAUUGUUUAUUAUUGAUUUGAAAAGUAUUUGCAACUAUAAUGAUAACCCAAACAGUAUUUUCAAUAGUUAAUAAAUAUAUCGGUAUAAUCAUAAAUUUUAGUAUCAAGCAUAUAAAUUUUUAAAAAUAUAUGUCGGCUUUUAUUUAGUAGUAAUCCAAAAUUGUAGUUUGAUGGUAUAUUUUCAAUAUACGAGGGGGAAUUUUUCUUAAAGAUUUCGGGUUUAGGGUUUGGUGAAUUAGGGCUUAUUGAGUUUUGAUUAUAUAUUUUAGGAUUUCAUAAUUUUGAAUACUGCCAAAAUACAUUAUCUCAGGAUUUAUGUAUAUAUAUUACAUGUCAAUUUGAAAACAUUGAAAUGUUGAAUCCGGUGUGUUAUUAGAGCA